rnacentral:ribozyme from 1 species
GCAAACAACAUGGCCCGCCUCGAAUGGGAGUGGGGGCUAAACAUGGGAGGGGCCCAUUGCACGUGAGGAAGUGGGUGGGGUGGAGCGCGGUAGCCAGUCGUACUACUGAUGCUCGGCUAACUAACGCAACGCAGGAAAAA